AACUACUUCUUCACGAUAAGCUUUCAUACACCUACACACAGUUCAGUUACAAACCCUGCAAAAUCUGCAUCUUCACUUUCCUUCAUACCAGAAUUCUGAUCACUUGUUUGAGAUCAAAUCAUGGCUGGUGCAUUUGUUGGUGGAGCUUUCCUUUCUAGCUUCAUUGACGUUGUCCUUAACAGAUUGCUCACAAUGGAUACGGUCAACCAAGCCUUGGGCAACAAACUUGUCCCUGACUUGGUUGAGAGGCUGAAGAUUUCUCUGCUUGCUGCUGAAGCUGUGCUUGAUGAUGCUGAGUACAAGCAACAGCGCGACAAACGUGUGAGGGAUUGGCUCGAUAGUCUGAGAGAUGCUGUUUAUGAUGCUGAUGAUUUUCUGGACGCUGUCCUCACCAAAGAAGCAACUCAAAAGGAGGUACGUUCUGUCUUGCCUAGUUUCUUGCUCAACCGACAUAGGAAGAUGAUGGUAGAUAACAUGGGAACGGUGGUUUCAAGAAUAGAAUCUCUUGUACAGAAAAAAGAUACCCGUGGUCUUGAAAAGAUUACCAAGGAUAAUAACUUAUCAUCAUCAUCAUCAUCAUGGCAAGAAACCACAUGUCUGAUGGAAGGGAAGAUAUAUGGCAAGGAGGACGAUCAACAAGCUUUAAUCAAAAUAAUAAAUGACCACAGAGAAUCUCAGUUAACUGUGAUUCCUAUUGUUGGCAUGGGUGGGGUUGGUAAAACAACCUUAGCCAAAUGGGCGUACAGUGUCGCGGAAGGAUUUGAUCUCAAAGCAUGGGUCUGCAUCUCUGACACAUUUGAUGUUGCUGAGAUUACAAAGAAAACCAUUGAGGAGAUUACUAAAAAUUUUUGUACCCCUGGGAGUUUAAAUUUGCUUCAAAAUAAACUGCAGGAAAUCUUGUCGGGAAAGAAGUUCUUUUUUGUGCUAGAUGAUGUCUGGAGCGAAGAUGCCUAUAAGUGGAAGCAAUUUAUAAUUCCUUUUCACUGUGGGGCUAAGGGUAGUACAAUUCUUCUAACAACUCGCAUGCAAAGUGUUGCUUCAGUAGUUCAAACAUGUCCCGCUUUCCAUCUUAGUUUGUUGUGGGAAGAGUCUUGUUGGUUAUUGUUUGCAGCCAAUGCAUGUUUUCCGGAGUCAAACGGGAACCCAGCACUAGAGGCUAUCGGUAGACAAAUUGUCAACAAGUGUAAUGGCUUGCCAUUAGCUAUAGAAACACUUGGGAGCUCGUUGCGAGGAAAGGAUGAUGCUGAAGAAUGGAAUGCUGUUUUAAGGAGUGCCAUUUGGGAAUCUUCCGAAGGUUCUGGAAUUCUUCCAGCAUUGUUAAUAAGUUACUUCCAGCUACCUCCUUACUUGAAGCGUUGUUUCGUUUAUUGUUCCUUGUUUCCCAAAGAUCAUUACUUUGAGAAAAAUGAACUAAUUUUGCUGUGGAUGGCUGAAGAUCUUUUAAGGCUACCAAAGAGAGGAGAGAGUUUAGAAGAAAUUGGUUCUGAGUGUUUUGAAGAAUUAGCUUCGAGGUUAUUCUUUAAAAAGCUUCACGACAAUGACAAGUAUUUUGUGAUGCACGAUCUCGUGCAUGACUUAGCAGUAUUCAUUGCUGGAGAUUUCUAUUGCAGAUUUGGUAAUGAGGAGAUGAUUAGGAUUCAGCUUCUUCGACAUUUGGGUGCAAAUUUACAUUAUUGUGGCUCAAAACAGCUUAAUUUGAUUUCUGAAGUAGAAUCUUUGAGAACAUUCUUAUUGUUUAGCGAUUUCUCAUCUAUCAGCUACAACAUUGAAGCGGAAACAUGUGAGAUAUUAUCAAAGCAUAAAUACUUGAGAGUUUUAUCCUUUACAAAACUUAAUGUGGCGCCUAAUUUAACAGGAGAAUUGAUCCAUAUGCGCUACUUGGAUCUCUCUUGGACUAUUAUUAAGACAUUGCCCGAGUCUUUGUGCAACAUGUAUAAUUUGCAAACAUUGAAGUUGUAUGGUUGCUGGGAGCUAACUACGUUGCCUAGUGGUUUGCAUAAUCUUGUGGAUUUGCGACAUCUUGAUAUUAGAAAAACUUCUUUGGAAGAAAUGCCCAGAAAAAUGAGCAAAUUGAAUCAGUUGCACGUUUUAAGUUCCUUUGUCGUCGGCAAGCACGAAGAAAAUGGAAUCCAGGAGUUAGGAGGGAUGGUAAAUCUUCAUGGACCCCUUGAGAUUAAGAAGUUGGAGAAUAUUGUUGAUGUGAAUGAAGCACAGAGCGCAAAGAUAAAGGAUAAGAAGCACAUUGAUGAAUUAUGCUUGGAAUGGUCUUCAGGUGAUGGUUUGGUUUCAAGCACAGAAACACAAAGAGACAUGCUCGAUAACUUGCAACCGCACAAUGGGUUGAAAGAGUUGAAAAUCAAGGGAUACAAGGGUACAAUAUUUCCAAAUUGGGUUGGGCAUUGUUCCUACCAAAACAUGACACGUGUAUCUCUGGAGUCUUGCAAGAAUUGCUGCAUGCUGCCUUCACUUGGACAGCUGCCAUCUCUCAAGUCCCUAAGCAUUGAAGGUUUCGAUCAGCUGAGGAGUAUUGGCGAAGAGUUUUACAAGAAUGAAGGAGAUCAUCAUUCUUCGCAUAUUGCACCGUUUCCCUCACUUGAGAGGCUACAAGUAAGAAAUUGUCCAAUGUUGAAGGAAGUCUUGAGUAUCGUUUCUUCUUUGUCGGAUGUGUCCAAAGUUCGCAAACUACAUAUAUACGACAAUUUAAUGGGACUGGGCAUCGAGGAUAUGUUUCUUGAUGGGGAUACUUUAUCAAUUAGGGGAUGUGAAUCUGUGAAGGAGUCUGCAAUGAUCAGCAUCAAACAUCUAAGUUGCCUCCAAGAAAUAUGCAUCUCAGGGUGUUCCUCUGAUGUAUCGUUUCCUGGCAACUGUUUUCCCAAAUCUUUGCAAAAGCUGGAAAUCGUGAGGUGUAGAAAUCUGGAAUUCCCGGAGCAACAGCAGCACAAGUAUGAUUUGAUAGAGCUAAAAUUACAAGACAGUUGUGAUUCACUGACCUCCUUAUGGUUGGAUGUCUUUCCCAAUCUCAAGAAUCUCAAGAUAGAAGGGUGUAGGAAUCUGGAAUCAGUCUCAAUGUCGGAGGCACCACACGCUGCUCUUCAAGGUGUCACCAUCAUUGAGUGCCACAAAUUAGUGUCAUUUGCAGGAGAAGGACUGGCUGCACCCAACUUGACUCAUCUUCAAGUCACAUGGUGUGAGAAGUUGGAGGCAUUGCCAAGUGACAUGAAUAGUCUACUCCCAAGUUUACAGUCCCUCGAGAUAUAUGGUUGCCCAAACAUUCGCAGGUUGCUAGAGGGUGGUUUGCCGCCUAACUUAAAAUCACUUGCUUGGGGAAUUUGCGAGCAACAAAUGUGGGAUCUAUCAAGGAUGGCCAACUUGCACGCCCUCACUCAUCUUAGUAUUAUUGGUUUGGGGUGUAAGAACAUAAAGUCAUACCCAGAGGUGGGUUCACUGCCUCACCUUCCCUCCCUUACCGCUCUUGACAUAUGGUGCUUUGAUAAUCUGGAGACAUUGGAGUGCAACGAGCUUCUCCGCUUCACCUCCCUUGAACAAUUGCACAUUUCAUACUGCAAGAGGCUGAAGAAUAUGGAAGGAGAAAAGCUGCCUCCCUCUCUCUUGCUACUUCAAAUUGAACAGUGUCGUUUGCUGGGAGAACACUGCAAGAACAAGCAUCAACUAAUCUGGCCCAAAAUUUCCCACAUCUCCACCAUUAAAGUCAUCUGAACAGAAAUUUCUGAGCAGGUUGGUAUAGUUACUCUAUUCCUCUAUGCAAGUUACUUCAGGUUGGAGAAUAUGGCAGGAGAAAAGCUUCCUUUUUCUCUGUUACUAUUUCAAAUUCAAGAUUGUCGUUUGCUCGGCAAAUGCUACAAGAAGAAGAGUUGCAGCUAAAGUCUUUAUGAAGGUAGCAGAAACUUGAUGGAUCUAUAGGUAUUGAUAUUUGAAACUGCUCUAUCUCAUAUCAUUUCUUAUGGAUACCAACUCAAAUAGAUUUUCCAGGGGCCUGAAGAACUGCUUUCUUUAUGUAUUCAACCAUUAAAAUGUCCAUUAAGCAGCUUCUGUGCAACUUUGUGAACAUGUUCUGAUCAUUUUUCCUCUGUCUGAGCAAACAUUUUUUGGAGUUUUCCUCAAUAUUCCCAUUAGUGUAUUAAUCUCAUCAAGUGAAUGAUUGGUUGGUCAAAUAUUUUCUUGUUUAACUGGAUAUUCUUCGCUCAUAGUUCGUCAAUUUGGAGGUGUGAUUGCAAUCUGAACUCUCUAGUAGAACUGCCAGAAAGUUCAUAAACAAUGGCUAUCUACUGUACAAUUGAUUUCAUUUAGUUUAUGUUCUUGUACAAGAUUUGUACUUUUAUGCUAAUUAAUGUUUGUAAGUUGAGACAUUUUGUAGCUUUGAUUUGGAAAAUAGUGAAAACUUUUACCUUCUCACAUUGAGAGGUUUUUU